rnacentral:rRNA from 1 species
UACGUAGGGGGCGAGCGUUGUCCGGAAUCAUUGGGCGUAAAGCGCGUGUAGGCGGCCCGGUAAGUCCGCUGUGAAAGUCCAGGGCUCAACCCUGGGAUGCCGGUGGAUACUGUCGGGCUCGAGUCCGGAAGAGGCGAGUGGAAUUCCUGGUGUAGCGGUGAAAUGCGCAGAUAUCAGGAGGAACACCAGUGGCGAAGGCGGCU